GGGAGUACGGUCGCAAGAUUAAAACUCAAAGGAAUUGACGGGGGCCCGCACAAGCGGUGGAGCAUGUGGUUUAAUUCGAGGCAACGCGAAGAACCUUACCAGCUUUUGACAUCCCGGUCGCGAAUACCAGAGAUGGUUUUCUUCAGUUCGGCUGGACCGGUGACAGGUGCUGCAUGGUUGUCGUCAGCUCGUGUCGUGAGAUGUUGGGUUAAGUCCCCGCAACGAGCGCAACCCUCGCCUUUAGUUGCCAGCCUUAAGUUGGGCACUCUAGAGGGACUGCCGGUGAUAAGCCGGAGGAAGGUGGGGAUGACGUCAAAUCAUCAUGGCCCUUACGGGCUGGGCUACACACGUGCUACAAUGGCGGUGACAGUGGGCAGCCACUCCGCAAGGAGGAGCUAAUCCCAAAAAACCGUCUCAGUUCGGAUUGUUCUCUGCAACUCGAGAGCAUGAAGUUGGAAUCGCUAGUAAUCGUGGAUCAGCAUGCCACGGUGAAUACGUUCCCGGGCCUUGUACACACCGCCCGUCACACCAUGGGAGUUGGCUUUACC
rnacentral:rRNA from 1 species